GUUCUGGAACCGUUUGAGAAAAACCCAACCCAAUAAUAGAAACCACAUCUCUACGGGAAUGUUCUGUUGAAGGAUAGAAAAAUCAUAGACUCUUUAUAAAUCAACCAGAACCAAGAUUCUUUGGUAUUUAAUUGGCCGAGGUUCUCAUCGGGAGGGCUUGAGAAUCAGCCUUUUUCAAAUGGACCCAGUCCAGAAUGGUUCUGAUGAGUUCUUGUUGGGGAACUUCAUGUUGUGUGACUUCUGGAAAUAAGAUUUUCUUUGGAUCUGGAACCAGACUGACCAUAGAACCCAAGGAUGAACAUAAGCCGGAAGUCUACAAACUAAGUGACACAGACAAAAGCAAGACGGUUUGUCUGGCGACUGGAUUCACGAGACACAACGCAAUGAAGGACCAGGACGGGUUCAGUGGAACAGAAGCCAGUCAGAUCGUAGAGGACGGGAAACCAACCGGCAUCUAUAACCAGGUGGCCGUGCUAAACGCUGACCAAACAUGUGACACCACAGAAAAAACGCCAAAUGAGCCAUGUGUUGCCUCUCUGGAACCAGAUGAGAUGGUGAACCUGGCCUCCCUGACCGUCUUCGGCCUGAGAGUGAUCUUCAUGAAGACCGUGGUCUUCAACGUCCUGAUGACGCUGCGGCUGUGGAUCAGUCAGUGUGAGUACCGACCCUCAGAAGAUCUUCACAGUUGACCAAAUGAUCGGACUCCUGAUAAUCUGCAGCUAACAAGCUUUAAAAUGAAGCUGCUCAGGAGGAAUGAUGAACCAUGCUUUAAAUGAGGCUUGUGUUGGAGCAGGACCUGAGCUGAAGGUGGAUCUAACAGAAAUAAUGUGACUUCAAUGCUCAUUUUUUAUUUCACAAGACGUG